rnacentral:rRNA from 1 species
GGGUACGAUCAUACCAGCUCUGAUGCACCGGAUCCCAUCAAAACUCCGCACUUAAGCGUUCUUGGGCGAAAAUGGUUCUAACAUGGGCUUGUCUUAUGGCUUUCACAGACACAGGCUAGUGGCGUGACAC